rfam:Sphingomonas changbaiensis NBRC 104936 DNA, contig: SCH01S28.
AGGAGUGUAGCUCAGUUGGUAGAGCAUCGGUCUCCAAAACCGAGGGCCGGGGGUUCGAGUCCCUCCACUCCUG